AGGACUUAACAGUCAACAAGAUUUCUUGUUUGCUAACCCGUUAUUGGCUGCUACCCUUGAAUCUCCCUAUUUGUCAACAACAAAAAAAGAGGUUAAAUACUAUGAUCAUGCUAUCAUCAUUAUGUUGCCUAUAAGACCAAAUGUUGGGAAUCUGGUUAUCCCUCCAAAAUAAGGCAAUGACCACACGUUCAAUGCGGAUCAUUCGUUUUUUUCAUCGAACUUGACUCAUUCCAUCUUCUGGAUUGCUUAGGAAAGCUGAUUGGUGUUACCUGUGUAACUUCAUUGUCAUGUCACUGAAUUUAAAUUUUGUUUACAUUUUGUUUCUUGAUUUAAGUAUUUGGGUAAAGACCGAGAAGAUGCGGCUUACAUGAACAUCAUUUAGGUGGCCAGCAUCAUUCGACUACCCAACCGGCUUCUACAGUCUACUACCCUGCUCUCAACACAGCACGGAAUUCUACCAUUUAGAUUUUUGGCUGUUCGCGACGUUUGAUGGCGUUUCCUUGAACGAGAUGAUGAUUUUGGCGAGAAAAAUAUUGCGUUCUAACCUUCAGGUUCCUAAAUUUGCAUGGCAGAGUUUA